UACGUAGGCAGCAAGCGUUGUUCGGAAUUACUGGGCGUAAAGCGUGCGCAGGCGGUGAUGUCAGCCAGAUGUGAAAUCCCCGGGCUCAACCUGGGAACUGCAUUUGUGACUGCAUCGCUGGAGUGCGGCAGAGGGGGAUGGAAUUCCGCGUGUAGCAGUGAGAUGCGUAGAUAUGCGGAGGAACACCGAUGGCGAAGGCAAUCCCCUGGGCCUGCACUGACGCUCAUGCACGAAAGCGUGGGGAGCAAACAGG
rnacentral:rRNA from 1 species